CCCCAAUUUAUGUGAUUUCAAAAGUAAAUCGGAAAACUUUUGUGAAAGUGAAAAACGGAGCCUGGCUGAAUGUGUAAGAAUUUUAUGAAGCGUGGGAGUUAGCUUCAUUUCAGGAUAUUUUUCCAGUAACAGCUCUGCAGUCUUCGAGGCAUAUUCACCAAGCUUGCGGCAAUCUGCUAAACAUUGUCAUUCCCUAUGAUGCUGAGUAGUUUUCUUGUAUCUUUAAAAUCUUGGAUGUCAAAGGAUUUCGUCCUUUUUGGGGGCGGAAAUGGGCGUGAAGCAAACUUGAUGCAGUGUGAUAUCACAGGAGCGUACACACAAAAUUGGGUUGCUCUAGCUCUCUAUGUCUCUGAGAACUAGGUGUGAAACAAGACGAACGGCCAAAGAUUUAUUGGUUAUUGCAGUAUCUGUCUAUCUGUGUUACCCGACGAUUCUCUUCGCACAUGGGCAGAAGCCAAUCAAGAUUUAAUGCCAUAGAAAAUUGUAUAUUUUAAAGCAAACUGUUCACAAAUUCCUCUGUUGACAUAACUAUAUUUUUGAUACAUUAAACAUAUUAAGUGUGUUAUUAAAUUUUAUUUUUAUUGCAGAUAAUGUUAAACUUGUAUACAUAGAUUCCCACCAAAAAUGUUUAUAUCUUUUAUAUAAAUACAUACAUAUGCAAUAUUUAUAUACAAUUUUUCAUUUGUAUGAUAUUAAAUGAUUUCUCCCAUGUCCAUUAAUUCAAUAUUUUUUAAUCUUUAUGUUAGUCAUGAUCAAUUUUUGUUGUUGUUAUUUUCCCAUUGAACAAAAUCAUAUAACGUAAGUAAAUUUUUAACAAAAAUAUGAGUGUGUCUACCUUCAUAGUUCACACCGCUCCGUUUUAGUGAUCUCAUUCAGUUUUUUCAUAAUGCAAAAUAUAAUUGUUUUAAACUUAAAAAAAAAAA